AUUGAACGCUGGCGGCAGGCCUAACACAUGCAAGUCGAACGAGUGGAGGACGGGUGAGUAAUGUCUGGGAAACUGCCUGAUGGAGGGGGAUAACUCCUGGAAACGGUAGCAAAUACCGAAUACCUUCAGAUGUGCACAGAUGGGAUUAGCUAGUAGGUGGGGUAAAGGCUAACCUAGGCGACGAUCCCUAGCUGGAUCGAGGGGAUGACCGACCACAUGGGAACUGAUACCCGGUCCAGACUCCGACGGGGGGGAUCAGUGGGGAAUAUUGCACAAUGGGCGCAAGCCGGAUGCGGCCAUGCCGCGUGUGUGAAGAGGUCGUUGGGGUGUUAAAGCACUUUUUGCGAGAAGGCGUUACCCGCAGAAGAAGCACCGGCUAACUCCGUGCCAGCAGCCGCGGUAAUUC
rnacentral:rRNA from 1 species